GCCCCUAGGGGGACAUCCGAUAAAAUUGGAACAAUACAAGAAGAUUAGUAUGGCCCCUGAGCAAGUAUGACACACAUAAAUCGAGAAAUAGUAAUUUUU